ACCUGCGGAGGGAUCAUUAUUAGAAGCCGAAAGGCUACUUAAAACCAUCGCGAACUCGUCCAAGUUGCUUCGGCGGCGCGGCCUCCCUCACGGGGGCGCCGCAGCCCCGCCUCUCCGGAGGUGUGGGGCGCCCGCCGGAGGUACGAAACUCUGUAUUAUAGUGGCAUCUCUGAGUAAAAAACAAAUAAGUUAAAACUUUCAACAACGGAUCUCUUGGUUCUGGCAUCGAUGAAGAACGCAGCGAAAUGCGAUAAGUAAUGUGAAUUGCAGAAUUCAGUGAAUCAUCGAAUCUUUGAACGCACAUUGCGCCCGCUAGUACUCUAGCGGGCAUGCCUGUUCGAGCGUCAUUUCAACCCUCAAGCCCUGCUUGGUGUUGGGGCCCUACGGCUGCCGUAGGCCCUGAAAGGAAGUGGCGGGCUCGCUACAACUCCGAGCGUAGUAAUUCAUUAUCUCGCUAGGGACGUUGCGGCGCGCUCCUGCCGUUAAAGACCAUCUUAACUCAAGGUGACCUCGG
rnacentral:rRNA from 1 species